GGAUCAACCCAACCUGCGACAUCUGACCCCGGGGGUCUCCAUCCGUCCAGAAAUGUGGGUGUGUAGGGGGCCACGGGGCUUCGGAAAGCAGACCUGCAUGAAGAACACAAAAGAAGAUCUUUUGAAGAAUGUUGAUAACCAAACAACACUGACCCCCAUUGACUUCCAUUGGAUGAACACAAAACCACUGAGACGUUUCUCGAAAUAUCUUCACAUACAGGUUAUUCUGUAUGAGAGUCACAGCCGCUUGUGUCAUGGCAGGACUGGACACGGAUGCAGCUAAACCAGGACCUCCUGUAGCCUUCACAAUCUACACACACACAGAGCUGAUAGCGUCUUUAACACGACACUUUCCCACCGGCUGAUGUUUUGAGUGAACCAGAGACUGAUAAAAGACCCAAACCU